rnacentral:misc_RNA from 1 species
GAUAAUCACCAACACGCAUCUCUCGGAAGUGAUGAGACAUCCUUCCUUGUAGAUACAUCUACUUUCAGAAAUAUCCAAAGCAGAAAAUUGGUUUAAAAGGGGGCCAAAGGCGCUAUAUGUAAACCAUACCAACACAAUCAACUCCAUGAGCAGAAAAUUUUCUGAUACAUACCUUAAUAACUAGUUCAAAAUGUCCAACAUCAGAAUCCAAUGUAGUCGGAGUGGAGUGUAUGGUUUAAUAACCUCUUCACCUUGGCUAUCCUUGCCCCUGUUGAAGACAGACUUUACUGAAAAGACUUAACCACAACUGUCGCAAGGACUUUGCGGUCGCCGGACGAUUCUCACCGAAGUGAGAAAAGUGAGGAGUUGCCACUUUAAUUUUGAGGGAAAUUAAAGAAAACCGUUUGUAAAGAUUAAAACCACUUCAAAAACAGAGAUUCUAGGUUCGGGGUCCGUA